rnacentral:misc_RNA from 1 species
CAGCCGCGUAAUUCCAGCUCCAAUAGCGUAUAUUAAAGUUGUUGCAGUUAAAAAGCUCGUAGUUGAACCUCGGGGUCUACCCAUUGGUCAGGCUUAAUUGUCUGCACUGGUGAGAUGGAUCUCUACCUUCUGAGGAACUUUCAUGCCAUUUAUUUGGUGUGAUGGGAAAUCAGGACUGUUACUUUGAAAAAAUUAGAGUGUUUAAAGCAGACUAUCGUCUGAAUACAUUAGCAUGGAAUAAUGAAAUAGGACGGACUGAUUCUAUUUCGUUGGUUUCUAGGAUCACCGUAAUGAUUAAUAGGGAUAGUUGGGGGCAUUAGUAUUCAAUUGUCAGAGGUGAAAUUCUUGGAUUUAUUGAAGACUAACUACUGCGAAAGCAUUUGCCAAGGAUGUUUUCAUUAAUCAAGAACGAAAGUUAGGGGAUCGAAGACGAUCAGAUACCGUCGUAGUCUUAACCAUAAACUAUGCCGACUAGGGAUCGGACGAAGUUAAUUUUAUAAUGACGCGUUCGGCACCUUACG